rnacentral:lncRNA from 1 species
GGCCCAUGAUCUUCUGUAACUGCUUAUCUUCUUAACAUGUUAAGAUUCUUUUCCAAGUGUUUAUCAGUUUAAAAUUUAUAGUUUUAGGCUAUUUGAUUUAUGAAUAAAUGAACAAGAAUCAAUUUUUUCUUAUGAAUCAUGAUGAUGAUGAUUGCAUUUUUUCUUAUGUAGGAUUUGGAAGGAAACUAGGGUAUCCUAGUCAAACGAAUCUGAUUAAAACUUUUCUCUAAGGUAAUUAUUUUUGUUCUUUCUUCUAAUUCUCUCUUUUUUUUUUAUAAAUUGUAAUUUAUUUUUCCGUUAGGCUGCAGAAAAAAACAAUACGGCUUGAGGCGGAAGUUAGUGGAUAAACUGUUGUUUGGUGUUCGAAGAGGAUGGAGUUCGUUGAGUGGUGUCGAGGACAGCUGCUGCAGAGUCUCUUGAAGAAGAUAUUUUCUGUUAGAUUUCACAUUUCCAGAAUAUUAUGCAAGUGUAAGCGUAGAAGAGUGGACGUCUAUGAGAAAAGCAGCAUUCUUCAAUGAAUUUCAUCGAAGUCACUAUUGAAUUCAUUCAAAUGAAGAUUGAAGAUAAAAGAAAAAAGAUAUAUUUUCGUUGUUUUAAAUAUUUUUUCUCUAUGAAUCCAUCUCCUUUUUUCUUCUUCUUGUAUUUGUUGUUCUUCCGAUUCUAUCAUUUAAUUGAUUUAUGUACGGAAAUUUAAUCAAAUAUACAAAUGAAA